rnacentral:tRNA from 1 species
UCCCUGGUGGCUCAGACGGUAAAGCGUCUGCCUACAAUGCAGGAGACCCGGGUUCGAUCCCUGGGUAGGGAA